UCUGCCUCCCGCUUCUUCUAUCAAGUGACUGUGCCCUCACUCUCCACAAUUCGAAAAGUUAGAUGACUAAGUUGUCCUACUCUCCCUUUCGCCGAGAGGGCAAGCAAACAGUCAUCUAUCGUUGCUGUCAACUCGGUUCACCCAUAUUUGGCAAAAGGCCCAUUUUGGCUUUUCAUGGAAGGUUUUUUAAUUCAAUGGGGCUUAGAAAGACAGCUCAGGAACACGAGUUCCUGUACCUUGCCUUUUCACUCCAGGGGUUUGUGGAAAAACUCCAAUAUAGAGGCGCCAGACUAGCAAGGCUCAUCCCAUUGUGCUCCGACGGCAGCUGCUGGGACCAACGCGGCUAGGACUUGGACCUCAUCUAAGGACUUGUUUUGAUAUUGCUUUCCGACUUAUACAUUGAUAUGUCCUCUGAGACCCAUCAUCAUGGAACCAACAAUAACAAUGAAAAAAGCAAGAGAGGAACCUGUUUACCAGCUCAGUCCUGGACACACUUAGAUGAAGAUCUUCCAGCUCCAAAAGCAGCAGUAGAUGCCCCUUGUUCCUUUACACACCUUGUUGACCAAACAGAAGAAAAUAUUUGCAUCUGGCGGGACUCUGGUUUCUA